AGGAAUAAGUAGGAAUCGUUUUAAAAUUUAAACUUAAAAAUUACUAGUUAAUAAGCAGAAAAUUCGUCCAAAACGAUGGAAACUGAACAUGUGGGAUGUUGUCGCAUGGGAAUCUUCAUUUUUGCAGCAUUUGCGAUAGUGAUUGGGUGUGGAAUCUUUGUCCUUGGCAUAAUUGACGUGAAUGGAAUUCAUUAUCCAACUCUCAUAAUGGGAAUUUAUGUCAUAGUGACACACGUAAUACUAUUUCUAGCUGAGUACGUUGGUAUUACACACGAGAAAAAGGAAGUCUGAUGGACAGCCAUGACAAGGAAAGAAAAAGCGGAAAUCAACAUAAACAAUGUGGAAAAAAAUCAAAUUAAUAUUGCAAAUAGUUAUAUCGUGGCUUAUUCUAGCUUGUAACGAUAUAAAUUACUUUUUUAUACUCCAUUCGUCGUCAUAUUGUAUCAUUAGCUUUUUAAGCCUUUUUAAUAUAUAUCAUAUAUAUUUCAAAAACGUGAAGUACAAAAACAAACAUUAUGAAGCCUUUGUGCCCGCAAUUGUGUCGCGCAACUAUAAAUAUUUUAUUAAGCUACAUAUAUGAAGAUGUUAUAAAUUUUUUAAAUAAAUCUUUAAGUAGAGCUUUUUAAACUUUGAAACUUUUUUAAAUAAUUACUGAUUAUAUGUGAAUUCGAAAUUUAUAAAUAUAUUUAUU